GGGAGAGAGGAAGAAGGGGUGAGAGGAGAAACCUGCCGCCGCUCGCCGCCUCUUUGUCUGCUCUGGGACUUGGAACAAAAGGGGGAACUCUGAUGAACUCUCUCUCCGCCCCUCUCCCCCGGACGCGCGGGUAUCUCCCUCUCGCAACUUUGCCGCCGCGACUUUCUCCGCUGUCAGGCCACACAAAAGUGUCCGAACGCCUCGAGGACCGCGACAAGGGAAGUGUCUCUUCAAAGUGCGACCAAGUGGGGAAGAAGGUGUGAUUACUGUGGUCAGCAUCUAGAAAACAGAAGCACUCCCGCCUCCUCUGUGCUACAUCCUUCUUACUGGAUCUUUCUAUCAGUGAACAUUGUGGAAGUACCAUUACUACAUCGUCAUUCCUGAAGGAAAAGUUGCCAAACUUUUUUCUUUGGAGUUGCUUCAAAGUUGUUGGGAUUUUUGAUGAUGCCUCCCCUAUGUGGAUUACUACUGUUUGAACACUGGGAAUUCUCCAUCUUAAAGAAGCGCUCCCAGGUGACUACAGAAGCCUCGACACCCAGCGUGGUCAGUGAGUAAAUUUCCAAGCCAUCAAGAAGAAAUACGGUUGUCUCUCCAGCGUUCCAACAGGACCAUUCCAACAUCACUUGAACGAGCUGUGGAAUCCGAGUGCGGCUGCCAAGAGGAAUCCAGAAAAGCCAAAGAGCCCAAGCAUGUCAGACCUUCCUGUAGCCACACACACACACACCUCAAACCCCAAGGAAGUGAGUGAGAAUCACAGGCAGGGAGACAGCCAACCAGGAUCUCGUCCCGGAUACCGCACUACAUUUGUUCGUCGUGUCUAAGACACCUUCGAUCUAUGACUGUUUCUCUGACAUGUUUCUGAUGACCUUUACAGUUUCACGGAGUGCAGCUCCAGGGCUGCAUCGCUGUGGGCACGCCAAGCUUCUCCUGGUUACCUGAGCUGCUGUUGCUGUCUCCCGGCUUCGGCUUCUUCAUGGCGCACGGGAACCCAGCAUCAUCGGUCUACGCAGCGCAGAACAAGGACCUGCUGGUGGAGCUCUGGCCGGGGUCCCCUCGCAGGCAGGCGAGGGGACUCGGAGGACAGGGUGAUGCGGGAGAAGACCCGGGGUGGGAUGGAUAGAAAGAACGCCAAGGACCGGGCAGGAGAAGUUAGGAAUUUGAUCCGUCCAAUGCCCACUGGUCUUCCCCACGGCGCACCCAGCUCAGGCUGCUCUUGGGGAUUAGUCUGGGAGGAAAGACCCAUGGCGAGAUGUGGUGGCAUUUUACUUGAGAGUGGAGCUGAAGAUGGAUAAACCUGGUCUCUGAUGUGUCUGCCUGCCUGCCGACGAGGCACAGUUGGAGAAAGGCAGAGCGAGGGAGCGCCUGAGAAGAAAGAGGAGAGGCGGAAUGCCGUUCGAUUGUCUGCCGCUGGCCCUGCAUUCUCAUUCUAGGGAGGAAGGCAUAAUUUAUAACCCAGUCUAUGGGUGGAAGAACUGUAAAUUGUAGUCUGGAUGUCCCCGGUGCUGUCAAGGAAGAAACUGAUGAGCUAGGUGACUGUACCAGUGUCCCCAGGGAGAAGAUCAGCCUUGCAGCAUGGAUUUAAAUGCAUGUGCAUGCAUGUAGAGACAUGAAAAGAGGGCGAUUUCUGACCAGUUUACACAGGAAGUCUGUCACUUGGCUGGAUCGGGCUUGAUUGCAGCUUGUAUUUUCAGCUUCAGCUCAACACCCAUUUCCUGACUAGCUAGAGAGCAUGGCCAAAGCAGCUGCAUGCAGAAUUUUCUUGUUAAUGUGAAAGCAACCCUCCUCAGCUUUAACUCCUUGAAGUUCUGAAUGCUCUGUGCUUCGCUCGGACUGACUGUAGGGUUUUGUUUGCUUCUUCUUCGACAGAUCCCCUGUAAACACAGCUGUAUUCAGUAUGAUGAAAAAUUCUAUCCAGUAAAUAGAAAUCUGAUCAAUUUAAUCAAAAUAAAUGUAUCCCAGAUGACUUUGAGACCAGCUGGCUACCACAGGCUUCAGAUGCUAAGCGUACAAUGGAGAUGAAUGCAAUCUUAUAUUUACGUGUUUCUGAAUUCCCGGAUCAGCCUAUAAUUAAAAAAAGAAAUCCUUUUGUAGGAAAGAGGUGGUCCUACCAGCUCUCAAGGUAGCUGGUUAGAUUCAGGUGCGGAUGUUGUUCAUGAGAUUUGGGAUCACGAUGUCGCAUUUCGAGGGCGUGUGCCAUGUGGCAGAGCAGAGUCAUGCUCCACAUAGAGAAAGCCUGCAUCUACCUUGCCAUCUGGAGACGCGGGUGCCCUCGAAACAGCCUCUGGUGAGGUUGGGGGAGGCACCUGAAGCUUGUUUUAGAUUCCGAUGUGUGGGCUCUGGUGCUCCAAGCCCAGCUCAAAACUGGGGGUGAGGUGCUUUCCCAGUUGUCAUGGGGAGCUCUUCUGGGACGCCUGUCUGGCCCUUCCACUGUUUGUUACUAUUUCUACAAAGGCGGCUCUGUGUGUUGGAUUAUGUUUGGCCAGCUGUUGGCGCAUUCCUGCGGGUGGGGCUGGGUGGAGACCUGAUUACUGUACUUGGAAACUGUAGAUCUCUGUGCGGUGGAGAGCAGGGAGGGAAUGCAAAGAAAGCAGGUUGGAGAAGCUGAUCUCUCUUAGAGAUUUGCUCCAGGUAGUUCUACAGCACGUGCAGAAAGGCUUCCAGUGUAGAGAAGGAAAGAGGGGAUGAUGCGGGGCGGGGAGCAGUGAGGGAAGGAGAAUGCAACUGAGCAAGCCCAUCAGAGAGAAAAACAGACUUUAGAACUUCAAAGCUGCAUAGACAAGCAGAAUGUCAGCAGCUUGUAAUUAGUGGUUCAUGGUUGCGUCAGCGCCUGCACCUCUCCAAGAAUAACUGUGUGAUGUGUGCCACAGAGUGAAGAAGACAGUCAUAACUAAGUUAUCAAACCUAGUUCAAACCAGGGCAAAUGGAGUCAGGAAUUUUUCUGUGUUUGUAAAUCAAAUCCUGAUGGAUUACACGUCUAAGACUUGCUGGGUUCUGCAUAAUUGAAGGCUGGAUUAUCCAUUUAUGGGGGAGGGUGGAGGGAUAUUGUAUGUUCAUUAAACGAAACUAUGAACCCUUAAAAAUGCAGAUGAAUCGUGCAUGUAAAUAUCAGCGCGCUCUGCGUCAAUACACGGUAUUUCCUCCAAUAGCCCCAAGCAGCUGUUGCCAAUCUCCCCGAAUCUCUGCAUCCACACAGAGUUUUUAUUUGCUCGGUUUUUGUGCAUUCACGUGGAGAGGAGUUAAAAGUUACAGUUCAGAUGAAAUAGGGUCAAUUAAAUGCGAAAAAUCGCAUCUUGGAAGUGGGCAACUGCAGCGGGGUUCUGAUUUUUGUUGCUGCCCCCGUGUAAAGCUUGCCGGAGCCUUGGCGGUCUCGCAGCCAAACAGCCGUCUGUUAGUAAGCCCGUGGGAAGUCGGGGCACCGCAGUGGUGGGGAGGCGAAGGCCACGUUCACUUCCCUCCCUUGUCUCUGGCGCUUAGAGAUUGCCGUGUGUGUGACUCCAGCCCCACAAAGAGCCGGUGGGAGGAGCUGAUUGGUCGGGAGGCUGGGGAUGUUUACUCUUAUUUGUUUUCAGCGCUCCUCCACGGCAUUCAUGCCGUAUUUGUAUUUGUGUUCACGCCGCACAAUUACUCCUCGCCCUGCUUUGUUUCUCUGCCCGAAGAGAAGUCAAUUUUAGUUCAGCUCCCCGGGUUUCGGCCUCCUGGCUAAAAUCCUACGUAUUGCUUUCCCCGGGUCUGCGUUUCCUUUUUUAAUGUGGAUUAGGGGGAAAUCGGUGGCCGGGAAAGCCGUGCAUAUUCAAUCAGUAGCUUUUGAAGCCGCGCCUGUCAGAUAAUUUAAAUAUAUUUACUCUGGGGGUGCCGGAGCUGGCGUGGUCGGAGCCCGUUUUAAUGUACCUCUUCGCUUUCGUCAAGGAGCGGAACCUGCCGGCUCAGAAUGGCGUAUUCUGUGCACCCAACAGGGUGGAAGACAUGAUUUUGUUUGUGUUAGUUCAAACAGCUGGUCAUUAAUGCAGUCCCCAUUUCGCCACUGAAGUGCGGGUGGACGUGAAUGGCUGCCUGAUUAAUGCUGUCCCCUCCGAGGGUCCUUCACCCAGCAGUCAGGCUCGGAGCAGAAUAAUGUAGCAUGAUGUGAUUGCUCUCUAACAGGGUAGUAUGUCAUUGUGUCACCAAGCAAUUGAGGUUAUUACGGGGCAGGGCAGACAGACGGGACAGUGGGGUUACUAGACCGUAGCAUUUUUAGAAAUACAGGCCUGACCUACUUAGAGUUAUUCUCUCUGGCUGGCAGCUGCACGGAGCAUCCAGUCUUCUGAUAGGCUGAGGCUGUUGCUAG
ensembl:lncRNA